rnacentral:ncRNA from 1 species
AAAAACUCGUUGAUAAAGAGAGUAAUUUAAUUAAGUUUCUUAGCGAACUGGCGUUGGUGAAAGGUCAGUAAACAAGAUUAAAUGAACCGCACUUUGAAGAGGACUGUUUGAACUAAUAGUAGGGCAGUCAGUAUGUCUACUUUACAGACAAGAGGGGAUAUAAGACUUUUUAUAUCAACAAGAGUGGUACCGCGGAAAUUUCGUCUCUUAG